AUGGGACAUGAAGCAAGGCAAGCUGAUAAGAGACUUCACACUUCCAAAGCUCACAGUUAUGCAGAAGUGUUUUGUGGUCUCUACAAUGUGCUUCGAGAGAGCCAGUGAUCCUGUCAAAAAACUCAGUACAGAACCAGCACCUUUAGCCUGAGAGUAAUGCAGGGCCUGUCCAGGGUGACCAGGAAGACCAGCAUAGUUCACUUUCUUUAUUCUCGGGUGAAAUGAUA
rnacentral:misc_RNA from 1 species